AUAAAUCGGUAUUUGUGUUAGUUCCUGUCUACAGUUUCCUCCUGUCAGGCACACGCACUGCUGCUUGGUGCAAAAGUCAAACUUCAACACACCAAGGCAGCUCCUGUAAGCUUUCAAAAGUGACGUGAUGGGGCAUCAAACCAGGCCUUCUUCUAUCAUGGCCUCCAAGCCUCUUGGGCUUGUUUUGAUUGUCACAGCUCACAUGGUAUUGACCGGACUCGGCGAUGUCCACGUCACAGGAAUCCUUGGCAGCAACGUCACCCUUACAUUUAAAUUUAACAUUACCAUCAAAAACUACAGUUCUGUUGCAAUUUACAGAGGAGGCGAGACAAAGAUUGAUGAGAGCACAUCGUGCGGAAAAUGCUUUGAGAUUUUCGAUGAUAAUGUAUCUUAUAGCAUUACACAUCUCAGACAAAAUCAGAGUGCUGUCUAUUCUGCAACUGUGUUUAGCUCAAAACUCACCAAACAGCACAGUAACCGAGUGAUCCUGACUGUUGAAAACAGAACCAGAACCAUCACAGUUCCUCCAACACCAACUGCUCUCACAGAUACUCCAACUGGAAAUUCCUCUUAUUCUCUCCUCAUCCCUGUCCUUGUGGUUUCCUCUGUUGUGCUGUCAGCUACAAUCCUUCCACUCCUGAUCUGUUGUGUUAUGAAAACAAAAGACCAACUCCGGCAACAACCACAGCAAAGCUCAAAUCCCACAUUACAGGAAACUAUUGAUGUGCCCGCCAAUGCUGCUGCACCCUCCACGAUCUAUAGCACUGCUGCUACGCCCUCGGUCAUAUACAGUGUCCUGGACUUCCCCAAAAGACCUCCAACAGUGGUGGAGCUGAAUCCCAAUGAUACCGAGUAUGCUGCUGUCAGCUAUCUCCCAGAAACUAGAAAAAUGUGACUGACAGUGACUUUGCGGGUCUUUGGUGGUUUUAGUAAAGGUGUGACGCGUGUACUUAUAUAACCUAAACAUAUAUAUAUAUCAGAUUCUUGAAUCGUCCUGGUAUGUGAGCGUCUCGCUGUGCAGCACAGUUCAGAGGGGGACAAGUUGUACUGUAAUCAUGUGGGUGUCAGUUUGUGUGUGGUGGUCGUGAGAUUAAAAUGUAGAUAACCACAAACCACAAGCCAGAUCACACACAGCUUUUUUAUUUGUUUUCUUUCUUUUUUUGUCUCGGGAGCAUCAUCUGAUGAGUAACAGCUCAGAAAAAAAACAGAAAAUAUUAUGCUUGCUCAGAGUUUCAUUGUUAGUAACAAUGUAAAGGUAACAAUUAGGCAUAAUGUUUCAUGUAGGCAGGCUGCUCUUCAGAACACACACAGUUUGAAGGGACCACUGAAAACAGAUCUGUAAAACCAGUCUGUUCUAUCCUUACAUUCUUACAUUACCAUGUGUCAUAGCUAUGAACAUGAACAGACAGCUGAUGAUCUGAGUGACCAUGCCCUUAAGCCACAGACUCCGUUUAUUUCUGCUGUAGUUUACGCUGCAACCACUGGGGGCUGUCAUUUCCCAUAGACUCCCAUUUUAAAAUGGCCAACUUCACAGCAGAAAUAAACAUGUUUACAGCCUGGUACA
rnacentral:lncRNA from 1 species